UCUAUAGUAUCACAAAAUUGAUGAAAUUUGAAAUUUCAUCUAUCCUCAAUUCUGUGAUAAUUUAUAGUACUCGACAGGCGCUAAGUACUAUAAAAAAAAAUAGUCGCUUUAUGAUCAAUCUCGACGAAUCACGAGUUUUAUGCAUUUCAGUGGUUGUAAAUACCGUAGUCUAUUAUCGAUUAAACGAAUAUUUUGUCGUUUCUUUAAGAUGCCGUUUUACGCUGUAAUUUUCAGGACUUCGAAAGCCGGUGCAAUAGCCAAAAACUGGGAGGAGGCUCGUGGGUUGAGAGAUGCUACUCCUAAUUCUUAUGCCAAGAAAUUUGAUACAAAAAUAGAAGCUGAAAAAUACAUCAAAGAUUUCAAAUUUGUGUGUAUAGAAAAUACACAAAGCACUAAUCAUAGAUCAUCACUAGAUCAUUUCAAAGGUGCGAAAAGAAAAAGAUCCGAUAAUCCAUUAUAUCCAAUCAGCUCAGUGAAAGACCAUAUAAAAAAAAUAAAAAUAGCAUUCAGUGAUUUGCGAGUUGCUGUAUCAUCAUUUUCAGGAUUAUCGGCGACCUGUGAAGACCAAUUGAAGAUUUUAAACGAUGAAGUUAUUGGUAAACUUCAUGAAAUAUUGAAUGUGAAUGAAACUGAAUCCAUAGACAAUUUGUCGUUAGUUGCUACAACAAAUACACCGUUAAAUAAAAACCUGAUAUGUUCUUCAAAUAUUGAUGCUAUUGAUGGUACCGACUUACUCCCGUCUGAACUAGAAUCAGCAAAAAAAUCUUUUACAUUCAAUGAAGAAAAUCAAGUUGUUGUUUAUACGGAUGGUGCUUGUUCAAACAAUGGCUAUAAAGGAGCAUGUGCAGGGGCAGGAGUAUGGUUUGGAAAUGACCAUCCUCUGAAUUUAUCAAUAAGAGUACCUGGAACACAAACUAAUAACAAUGCAGAGAUAUUUUCUACUAUUAAAGCAAUUGAACGUGUUUAUUCUACUGGUCUCACUAGAAUAAGUAUACACACAGAUUCCGAUUUCGUCAUUAAAAGUGUAAAUGAAUGGAUGCCACGUUGGCUGUCUAAAGGAUGGAAAACCAGUGCAGGUGCUGAAGUAAAAAACAAAGAAAUGUUUAUGAUAUUAAAUAAAAGAAUCCAGUCCAUGGAUUCUGUUAGCUGGACAUACGUUCCUGGUCAUAAAGGGAUUAUCGGUAACGAAGAAGCCGAUAAGUUAGCCAGGAUAGGGGCUAAGAUGUAGGGGUAAAAUUUUAAAUUAAUCUCACUUUUGUUAUUAACCAGUUAAUUUUGUAUGUUUCUUAUUUCAAAUUAACGAUGAACAAAUGUGAAUAUUUAUAGUCUCAUAUCAAUUUUGUAUCCAUUUAUUCAAAAGCGAUAAUGUGAGACAUGCAAGAUUCAGUUUAUAUUUAAAGAUUGAAUUAUAGUGUCACAUAACUACAUAAAUCUAGAAAGCAUCAAUCUGCAUUCAAGUCCAAAAGUAUCUAUAUUUUCUAAUAUUUAGAUUUGGAAAAAUUUAAAUAAGCUUCAAUAAAAAUUAAAAGCUUAUUAGGUAUUAUAUAUAUUUUAUAUUCUUCUGCUAUGUAGAAUGUUGAUAUUUUCAGGUGUAGCUGCCAAUGUUAAUACACUAUUGUUUUGUUUUGAACAGAAUACAUUUAUGUCAUGAGGUUUGGAUAAAUUUAACAAUACUAUAGCAUCAUGAGUUGUAAAUUCUGAAUGAAGUGGUAAAAACUAAAAAUGUAUUGAUUUUAUAAUGGUGUGUUUUGUUAAUAUUUUUUUUUUUUGUCGGUCAUCACUUUUUACCUUUUGGGGUAGUAUAAAUGCUUCAAUUUUCUACUUUGUAGUAGACUAACAUUCUUGUUAGUACUUUAAUGAACAAAAAAUAAAAAUUCCUAGCAGAUUUGAAGUGUAAGGAAAAACCAAAAAACUAAAAAAAAUUUCACCGAAUGUUUAUAAUUUUAUAUUAGUAUUUUCUAGUUUUCUACACACUGCACACAUUUUAAAAAUAUUUUUUUUCGCUCAUCAAAAGUUUUUCUACUUUUAACAAACAAGUUUAUGGAAAAGGUAAUUAAAUUUUUAUGAGCGUUUGAAGUUGAAUAAUCAUCCAUAAGUUAACUAUUAUUUCUCAUGGAAUUCUUUUCUUGUAAUUCAAAAACUAUUAACUGUAGAUACUUGAAAUGAUCAGUUAUUUUUUAUAUGUACUUAAAAGGACAUCAUACCCCGCGGGUACCCCCAUAUAUUGUCUCCGUUUUACUAACUCAUAAUAUGAUUGUCAAAAUGUUCGUCCAGUCGUAAUAAUAUUUUUAUUAUAUGGGUAAGCAAGCUUAGUUACUUGUUGCGUGGACUUGAACUAAAUCUGGACAUUUGCAAUCAUUGUUCAAUGUUUAUAUUAUCAUGAGUAUACCGAUAAAAAUAUUAACCAAGUAAUCACAUCAUAUUUUUAUUUAUAUUAUAAAUAAAUUAUUAUCGCCAAUGAUCAGACAACACCCUUUUGGCCAUGAACUACUGUGUAGUAGUUUAUGCUUUUAGCUAAGGCUCUACAUAGAAUGGGUAUGCUAUGCACCAUUUUGUGUCACAUUUAUCAAUGAUAAAAUAAAGGGGGAGAAAUUCAAAUUCACAUAACAUUAUUAGUCGCAAAAUGGCGGCAUAGCAUACCUGUAUCUAUAGUGCCAUAUUUUGGCCUUUUGUCCUGUGUCAACUAUUUAUACACCUGCCGUGUAGUAUUGCGUAGUAGCUGGCUGUCGCAGGCGUUCUUGAACAGAGCAUACAUUACACAGCUUAUUACGAUUUAAAAUUUUA